GCCAUCGUGGCGCAAUGGUAGCGCAUCACCUUCCUACCUAGGGAAGGCAGGUGGGGGUUGCGGGUUCGAUCCCCGUCGGUGGUA